GUCAGGAUGGCGAGCGGUCUAAGGCGCUGCGUUUAGGUCGCAGUCUCCCCUGGAGGCGUGGGUUCGAAUCCACUUCUGAAGUGUUUAAGCA